rnacentral:tRNA from 1 species
AAUAAUGUGCCUGACAAAAGGGCUAUUUUGAUAGAAUAGAUCAUGUAUUUUUACCAUUAUUU